rnacentral:rRNA from 1 species
CCAGCAGCCGCGGUAACUCCAGCUCCAAUAGGGUGUAUUAAAGUUGUUGUAGUUAAAAAGAUCGUGGUUGGGUCUCGGUACCACUGUUGCUCGUCAGUCCUUCGGCAGGUGAUUAUGCGCGCAUAGGUCGUAUUGUGUGGCCUGCGCUGUUGCUAUGGCUGCUCUGCCCGAGUUGGCAGUGUCGCCUUUCAGCCAUGUUUGUGGUGAAAUAACCUCAAAUGCAGGCGAGUGUCGGAUCGUGCCCAGCAUUAGUUGAGUCCGUCGGCUCGUCUGCAUGCCUUUAGAUGCCCUUCAAAAGGUGUCUGUGGACGGAUGGCACGUUCACUUUGAACAAAUUUGAGUUCUCAAACCAGGUCGAUGUUGCCUGAAAAUUUUUGCGUGGAAUUAUGGAAUAAGACUUUGGUUCUAUUUCGUUGGAUUUCGGAUCCGAAGUAAUGAUCAAAAGAGACAGGCGGGGG